GAAAACCAACAACAGCAACAGCAACAACUUGAAGCUGUAUCGGUUUGUGGAUACCAAUACUUCAUUGGUAUCAUCAUCAUCAUCAUCCAAUGAAAUCCAGCUAUGGAUGUUGUUUAAUUAUUGGCAUCAACAGUAUUACUACCAUUUUUAGCAGGUCAUCUGUAAAGCCUGUUCUGUGCUAAAUAAUUUACAUACAUAUUUUACAUUAACAACAAUUCUGUAAGAGACAGAGAAAACUGGAAGAUAGAAAAUCACAAACUCCAUAAUUCUUUAUUUUUACCCCAUUACCAAACAGAUGUGAAGUUCACCAAAGUUUAUAUCUUCUGUGAGCUGGUGUAGAAGAUAUGGCCUCUGAUAAUUUUGACAUUCUCAAAUGAUUAAGAUAUUUUUUAAAUGGUU